GUGGAUACAAAUCGAUGGGUUAUAAGUGGAAGGAAUAAAAUAUUCUCUCAUCUAUCUUGGUGGUUCUUUAGGAUUUCUAGUUAUUUGAUUAUCAGGUUUAACUUGGAUCAGCCGUUCAAUUUCAGGAUUAGAUUCAACUAGGUCAGGAAAAAGAGAUCUCCUAUUGUGCCUGUACAAGUACAAACCCUUAUGUGUGUGGUUCAGAUUUUUUUUAAAGAAAGAGGGAGA
rnacentral:lncRNA from 1 species